rnacentral:rRNA from 1 species
GACGAACGCUGGCGGCGUGCUUAACACAUGCAAGUCGAACGGAAAGGCCCUGCUUGCCGGGUACUCGAGUGGCGAACGGGUGAGUAACACGUGGGUGAUCUGCCCUGCACUUCGGGAUAAGCCUGGUAAACUGGGUCUAAUACCGGAUAGGAGCCAUUCUUAGUGUGAUGGUUGGAAAGUUUUUUCGGUGUAGGAUGAGCUCGCGGCCUAUCAGCUUGUUGGUGGGGUAAUGGCCUACCAAGGCGGCGACGGGUAGCCGGCCUGAGAGGGUGGACGGCCACAUUGGGACUGAGAGAAGGCCCAGACGCCGACGGGAGGGAGCAGGGGGGAAUAUUGCACAAGGGGCGCAAGCCGGAUGCAGCGACGCCGCGGGGGGGAAGACGGCCUUAGGGUUGGAAACGCAUUUCGCUAGGGACGAAGCUUUUUGUGACGGUACCUAGAGAAGAAGCACCGGCUAACUACGUG